rnacentral:rRNA from 1 species
UACCGUGAGGGAAAGGCGAAAAGAACCCCGGCGAGGGGAGUGAAAAAGAACCUGAAACCGUGUACGUACAAGCAGUGGGAGCCCCACCACUAAGCCAGUGGUGAACUCCACAUACGCAUCCUUUGCUGAGGAUGCGGUUAACGGAGCGAAAGCGACGUUCAACCGCAAAAGAAGCAGAGGGGGCUUAGUGGUGGGGUGACUGCGUACCUUUUGUAUAAUGGGUCAGCGACUUAUAUUCUGUAGCAAGGUUAACCGAAUAGGGGAGCCGGAGGGAAACCGAGUCUUAAUUGGGCGUUAAGUUGCAGGGUAUAGACCCGAAACCCGGUGAUCUAGCCAUGGGCAGGUUGAAGGUUGGGUAACACUAACUGGAGGACCGAACCGACUAAUGUUGAAAAAUUAGCGGAUGACCUGUGGCUGGGGGUGAAAGGCCAAUCAAACCGGGAGAUAGCUGGUUCUCCCCGAAAGCUAUUUAGGUAGCGCCUCGUGAAUUCAUCUCCGGGGGUAGAGCACUGUUUCGGCUAGGGGGCCAUCCCGGCUUACCAACCCGAUGCAAACUGCGAAUACCGGAGAAUGUUAUCACGGGAGACACACGGCGGGUGCUAACGUCCGUCGUGAAGAGGGAAACAACCCAGACCGCCAGCUAAGGUCCCAAAGUCAUGGUUAAGUGGGAAACGAUGUGGGAAGGCCCAGACAGCCAGGAUGUUGGCUUAGAAGCAGCCAUCAUUUAAAGAAAGCGUAAUAGCUCACUGGUCGAGUCGGCCUGCGCGGAAGAUGUAACGGGGCUAAACCAUG